rnacentral:rRNA from 1 species
CCUACGGGAGGCAGCAGUGAGGAAUAUUGGUCAAUGGGCUUACGCCUGAACCAGCCAAGUCGCGUGAGGGAAGACUGCCCUAUGGGUUGUAAACCUCUUUUGUCAGGGAGCAAUGGGUGCUACGCGUAGCGUUAUCGAGAGUACCUGAAGAAAAAGCAUCGGCUAACUCCGUGCCAGCAGCCGCGGUAAUACGGAGGAUGCAAGCGUUAUCCGGAUUUACUGGGUGUAAAGGGAGCGCAGGCGGUUGUACAAGUCCGGAGUGAAAGGCGCGGGCCCAACCCCCGGACUGACGUGGAUACUGUCAGGCUUGAGUGGAGGAGAGGGAGGCGGAAUUCCUGGUGUAGCGGUGAAAUGCGUAGAUAUCAGGAGGAACACCGGUGGCGAAGGCGGCUUACUGGACUGCAACUGACGUUGAGGCACGAAAGCGUGGGGAGCGAACAGGAUUAGAUACCCCAGUAGUC